GGCUUAGCGGUGGUCUGUUUAUAUUUACUAUAAGAUUAUAAGAGUCAGAUUUGUCAUUUUGUAUAUGGGUUUGUUUGGGAAGUCUUGUCUUAGAAGAAACUUUUGUCAUAUAUUGAAGUUGUGCAUUUAUAUGUUAUUGAAUCUUUCCUAACAGUGGAAACAAUAAAGUUGGGAUUUAUAGGUUAGACACACAUUAAGGAUGCAGCAGAUCGCUAUGGAUGUCAGUUGUGUGGAUCCAACAUAUCGCUAUGGAAGCAAACAUUGUGAUUCUUCUCUAAGCCAUGCUCUUUAGGUAAAAAAUCAGCAUUAUUCGAUGGUAGAUGAUCUAGAAGACAGUGAUAGCGAAGAUGAUGAAGAUGAACAAACCGGUUAGACUGAAAUCGAAAUUCGCCUCUUUGUUUUUCAUUCUAUCGCAUCAGGUACCUUCAAUAUUCAGCGAGGAGUCAUUCUUUUUGUUUAUUUUGUUUAUUUGGAUUAUUAAUUGUUGUUUCUAAUUCUUAAGGAAAUUUUCUGCUUGCAACAAAACAAUCGAAAGACCUUUUGUCCUAUAUGCAAUCGGUCACAAAGGUUGUCCGUUCGAUCUCGAGUGAUUAUGUUAUUUGGUUUCAAAUUUGAUGAUGAGGAAUUAUGGGUUUUCUUUCAGUGUCGUCUUAAGAGGUCUCGAAACCAUAAUUCGAUAGUUCUUCCUUAAUUGUCAACUGUUGACUAACGAUUUGAUGCUACCUGUGAAAGAAAAUUGUGAGUGUAAGUUAAACAUGAUAAUCGCUUUUUGGUGAUAUUGGGAUUAAUGAUUUCAUUCGUCGCAAUCGCUCUUCUACUUUUCCCUUUCGUAGUGCUAAUGAUAAUAGUAAUCUACGAUAAUGAAGAAACGGUAUCAAUCGGUAAAUGAAUGGUGGUUUUCUUAUUUGUUGAUUGAUGUGCAUCUUUUCUAACUGUUCUCUUUGCUUUUGAAAGGGACUAUCUGCCUCAAGCUUAUCUCUUUAUCUUGGAAAAUCUGAGCUAUCGUUUCUCCCUUCAAAUAUCCAGUGGGAAGCGAAUGCUGGCGUUGAUGUGUAACUGAAGGUGCGUGUAAGGAAUCCGUCAGUGUUGAUAGCAUAAUGGUUGUUAGACGUGAGCCUUCAAGAAAUGACUAUAGGAUUCUCAUAGCAGCUGGCUUGGCCAAAGCUUCUUAAUCAUCCAUUUGUUGCAGGUUCUCUUGAUAUUUGAGGCUGGGAUACUUAUCUUCUCUUUAUGAGUUCUAAGCGGGGUACCAUUUGAUUCAACAACAAAUGGUGGAGAUUUUAAAGAG